rnacentral:rRNA from 1 species
GACGAACGCUGGCGGCGUGCUUAACACGUGCAAGUCGAACGGAAAGGCCCUGCUUGCAGGGUACUCGAGUGGCGAACGGGUGAGUAACACGUGGGUGAUCUGCCCUGCACUUCGGGAUAAGCCUGGGAAACUGGGUCUAAUACCGGAUAGGGGCCAUUUUUAGUGUGAUGGUUGGAAAGUUUUUUCGGUGUAGGAUGAGCUCGCGGCCUAUCAGCUUGUUGGUGGGGUAAUGGCCUACCAAGGCGGCGACGGGUAGCCGGCCUGAGAGGGUGGACGGCCACAUUGGGACUGAGAUACGGCCCAGACUCCUACGGGAGGCAGCAGUGGGGAAUAUUGCACAAUGGGCGCAAGCCUGAUGCAGCGACGCCGCGUGGGGGAUGACGGCCUUCGGGUCGUAAACUGCUUUUGUAGGGGACGAAUUAGUGACGGUACCCUAAGAAUAAGAGGUUGCUAACUCUGUGCCAGCCGCCGCCGUAA